UCAGCUCCUGCAUGGAACCAUGCCCUACAACCAAUAUAUUCAGCUCCAGAUGAUUUUCAGGUCAUUGACUUGGGAGAAGACGAGUAUGAUCCACUCACCAUCCUUGGAAGACUGUUCCUCAGCACUAUCAAAGCCAUUAUCUAUAUUGGAACCAGAGAAGUCCACAUGCACUUCCCCUCUGAGAAGGUACGCCACUACUUUAAUAAUUCUAACUAUAUAGUUGAAGAUUCUAAGCAGGUCAGGACAAGAAGACGACGCAACCGUAACCAGAGGAGGAAAAUCAUCAAGAACGGAUGGGUAGACUACGAAGGAGAAGUGAUAAGGACUGAAGACAUAUAGCUUGAACAGAACUGCCCUGAGGAGACCAUAGCACCGAGUCAGGUGUGGAGAGAGAAGAUAGUUAUACACGAAGAGAGGCGCCGCCGGAAUCACCGACUACGCCACCUAGCGAAUCCCAGGACGACUGAGAAAACAGAGAGUCCCGUUCGGAGGACUUAAAAAUACCGAACGCCUUGCCAAGAGGUAAACUUGGUAGUUACCCUUUCCUUUCAAUUAUUCAAUUAUAAUUUGCUUAGUUAAUCAGGUUUAUGCUAUCUUGAAAAGAAAAUAAAAAUGUUAAAAAAUAGUAAGCCCCAUGUGAGUAUGCUCAUGGCAUAAAACCCAUAAGUACAUUCACUGUGGUGGCAUAAAAAUAAAAUAAAUAAUUUUUCAUCUUACAAUAAGAAUAUAUAAAAUAUAUAUAUAUAUAAUAAUAAUAAUAAUAAUAAUAAGUGUAUGAUCCUGCUAAAUAAAUAACAUUUAUUAAGGAAGCUCAACAUGAUGAAGGCUAGAUAUUUAUGCUAACACUUAAUUAGUUCCACAAGCUUUGUUGUCUAUUUGAGCUCCACAGAAUUUAAGAAUCAAGAAGACUAGCAGACGGAUGACAUUCUAAUCGCUGUCAGAAUGCUGCUGACUUUCAAAUACACCUAUGCCACCUGCUAGCUACAUCAAGAGAAAUUACGUCAAAAUUCAGCUUGGGGGAGAGCACCCCCAUUUAUCCCGAUAAGUAUUUCUAUCUAUCUUUAUACUUAUAUUAUAUUAAAAUAUAGAUAUACAUAACUAUGGAAAAACCAAAUAAAGAUUUUGUGCUUAUAUAUAUCUUUUGCUUAGUAUGUUUAAUAAAUAAAUAAAGUGGCUAUGCUAAUCUGAAUCUUAAUAAUAAAACUCUAGCAUGGAUAUGAUGAAUAGUUGCUCUGCCUAAUUUGCAAUUUUGAAGUUCCCUCUCAAGUUUAGACAUAACUGUUAUAAUUUAAAGCUUGCUCUAGAUCUAAACUUGUGGGAUGAAAACUUGAUCUGAAAUCUAAGUUGUUAACGGAUAUGAUAUGGGAAGGUUGAGCUGCUGUUUAUCUAUCUGUUCCUAGAGAUGCUAGAAUUCUGGAAAAUUUUAUCUUAAAAAAUCUUUAAAAUAUUGCAUGAUGAGUUCCUGUAUGAUGAGAGUUUCAAUUCCUACCACAGCCAUAUAUACAUGCUUGCUAGACUUUGAGCCACACAUUUACUAUUUACUGCUUAUGAGCAUUGAGUGUGGUCAAGGUGUGUAGACCCUUAGGAGCUUGUCAUGUGGUUAAAUCAAGAUUCACUUGCACGUUCACUCAUAUAUGCUACUUCUACUCCGGAAGUACCAUCCACAUAUAUCCAUCCAUUUCCGUCUCUAGCAUCACCCAAAAAUAUUCUACUCCUAAUCCGGGAGAGAAUAGUCAAAAACAUUUUCCUAUCCCUGUUAUUCCCUGUGAAAUAAAUGCUCCAAAUAUUUUGGUUACUACCACUUGCUAUAUUAUCUCAAGAGAUGAGUGCUCUAAAAAAAGAAAGAAAUAAAAGAGAAAUAUAUAUAUAUAUAUAUAUAUAUAUAUAUAUAUAAACGAGAAAAUAAAAAGGGGCAAGUGCCCGGAACCUCGAAAGAAAGAAAAAGUGAGACGAGAGGUAAAAAUGGACAAGUGUCCGACAGUAGAAUUAGGGGUACAAGAUACCCACCUGAGAGGAAAGAAAAAGAAGAGCAUCUCAUUCUCCUCAUAAAGUUUCAAAAAGCAAGGAAGGUAUGUAUCCCCUCAAAAGAGCAAAAGUAGAAUUAGACUUUCACCAUUGUUAUUACCAUCAUCACCAUACACCAUUCAUUCGCCACACAUGCACAUCUUGAUUUGGCUUAUUGAUUUGUUUCUCUGGAUCCAUGGUUUGACUAUGCAAUAAAUGUCUUGUAAGUAUGUAUUACCUGUCUCCCACCUAUGAGCUCCAGAUAUCAAGCCUUAUUAGAGUAGGGUGAGAGAGAAGGCAAUGUCACUAUGCCUUAUACCAUAAAUACCAUAUAUCUUGAGAGAAGGCAUAUACCAUCAAUGCCUUGGUAAGGAUCCAGAAAUACCACAAAAGAGAGAUAUGAGAGAGUCAUACAAGGAAUCUCUGAGUUUUAUUUGAAAAUCUGCAAAAACCCCAGAGCUAUAGCUGAUCAAGAAUAAGAGACAUGGCACUUGGCUAGACUGUUCUAUCUUUUAACCUCUCAAGAUAGAAGUGACGGUUACAAGUCCCAUGGUGAAGGUAAAGUAAGUUUUAAGUCUUGACAGUUUACUCUAACUCAGAGAUGAGAUCUUAUUUAAAAAGCAUGUGUACCGUCAAAUUUUUAAGAUAUUGCAACAACUUCUAAUCCAUUGCUGAGUCUAUCCUUGCUCAGGGACGAGCAAGAGGUAAGCUUGGGGGAGUUUGUUGACGGUCCUUAAGUAUCAAAUUUAAUUAUCAAAUAAACAAAGAAAAGGAUCUAAAUGAAAUCAACAUCUAGACUUAGGGUUUUAUCUGACAGAAUUCCACGAGUUUUGGUGUUUGUCUAUUUCUGCAGGGGGUUAUCAGGAAAUAAGGAAGAAAGGCCCACAUGUCAGGAUUACAUAGAGAUAUCAACGCACCGCGUAAUUUUCUACCAUCUAGAAGACUCCAGAAGCCACGAGACCGAAGCGGAGGCGAAACGGGGCCAGGCCCAGGGCGCCCGCCCUGAGGACCUAGGCGCCCGCCCCCUGUUGGAUUUGGUUCGGGACUCUCUUCGCACGGGAUAUUCCACCGACCUAUUGGAUCAAGGAAAACAUAGUACCACCUCGCCUAUCGACCCAAAAACGCAUAGAAGGGGAGGACUAUAUAAGGAGACCCCCCUGGCCUCUGGAGAAGACAUGAAGAAAUUAUCAUAGAGAUUGAGGGGUGCCCUCGAAGGAAAACCUCUUCUCUAAUUAAUAUUUCUUUUUAGGCUUAGCAACCAAUGUAAAGUUGAAAUAGAUCUUCUAGUUUCUACUAGAUUGAGAGAGAUAGAGUGAAGGUGUAGAUUGGAGGAAGCCCGACCUGUCGGUGUCUACUCCAAGCUUGUACCUGCGGGAUCAAGUUCUCCUAACCCGAAGCUUGCUCCUAGGAUUCUUCAGUAAUUCAACUUCUAAAUUCUAGUAAGUUCUUGUUUUAUUGUUCUUAUGGUUUAUGAGUUUACUUUAAUCUCUUCGUGUAGAGUUUAGAGUAAUCAUUGCUGGUGUAAACGUGGUGUUUAGGCUGGGGUACUCAUAGAUAUUCCCUGACUAGCUGGACCGUGGUAGUAGUGAGGAACGUGACAAUUCCGAGUUACCUUUGCAGAUCACAUCUCGUUAGCAGGAAGGAUAGGGUUUAUAGGUGCGGGUUGAACAUCCUUUGUGGUGUCUAGAUUCCGUUAGCCUCCCCAUUAGAACAGUAGAUCAUCCUUACCAAGGUUAGAAGGAGACUACGGUUGCAGUCUUCUCUAUUUAUCACUCACAUCGAGAGACAUUCUUUGUAGCCUAAAGGGAUAGUAGCAAUAGACCGGUUAGUCAGAUGCAUCCUUUCUCCCAGUGGUAAAAAUAUAAAUACGAUAACUCUGGAUAACCUCCCGGGUGAAAUGCUCACCGAUAUCCGUGCGCUUGCGGAUCUUUUCCUUAUUGCGUUACCAAAUAUCAAUAGCUGUCACCUGUGCGGACUACCACACGAACCGGCACGUCAGGGUGCCCUCGCAGAUAAACAAGAUAUCUAGACACCACGUCUACAUAUUGUCUACCAUCUACCCACCCAUGGAUUGGGUAAACGCUAUACGAGCAAUUACAUGAAUUCAAUAAGAUCAAACCAACUAUCCUAGACAAAUAAUCAAAGUAGACAAUGACUAAUGUAAUUACCGAACAUAUGAAUCUAUUAAGAAUAAAGUCUCCCUAAUAUACAAUGAAAUACUACGAAGUAGAACUAGAACUAUUACCUAACUCUUGCGCUCGAGACCAACGCUAGGGGCUCCAGAUCCCGAUGAAGAACUAGAUCUCCUCUACUUCUAAUCUAACUAACUACAACUAUGAACCAUAAGGCUCUUGAUGAACUUGAAGGCACUUGAUGCUUGAUGGCUUGAGGCUUUGAUGAAUAAUGAGGUCUGUCCCCAGGGGGGUCUGCCCACGUAUUUAUAGUCUGGUGGGAGCCGCCCGCACCGUCAGAUCAAACCAACUUACCAAAGGGCCUAGAUGACUCCUCAAAGGCGGUGGAGGAAGCUUCCAGAAGGGGGGCACCAAACCCUAGACCAGGGGGCCGACUGGCGCUAGGGUGGGGCCAGCCGGCCCCACCUGGUGGCGGCUGGUCCUCCCCUCGCGUCGGGUGUCUUCCAGAGUAUUCCUAAAUCCUCUCGCACUGUUUCUCGUGGCAGAUACGUUUCCAUGUUUGAUUUGCAUUAGAGUCCCUCUUUUGCAGCUUUCCUGAAAUUUACCCUGGAAAAUAUGGAAUAUACAAAACUCAUGGAAAUUGUUAGUUUAAACCCUAUACUAGUAUGUAUUCAUGUUCUCCUUCACGUUUAAAGUUAUAAUAAAAGUUGACGUUAUCGACCGUCAACAAUUCCCCCAAGCUUAACUUUUGCUAGUCCCUUGGCAAACUGAGCCUAAGUAGUAUAUGUAUUUGGAUCAAGAGUUGCUAUAAUGUUUUCAUUCUUUCCCAAUACACAUGAUCCAAAAAAUUAUCCUCUGGAUUAGUCAAUACUUGCUCUAAUCUUCAAACUUACCCAUUUUACCUUUAACCAUGGGGCUUUAUAGCUUUUGCAUGAGUCUUGAGCAAUCAGAAGACAGAACAAUCAGGUCAAGUACUAUGUCUCAAACUCUUUUGCAAAACCAUUAUUCUGGAGUUUCUUAUAAGUUUUUAGAAUAAAACUCAGAGCUUAAUUGUAUGACACCCUCAAGUCUCUCGAUAUAUGUGGUCUUUAUGGUUCUCUCUUGAGGCAUUUAUACCUCCUAUAGCUAAAGAUAUAUAUGGUGGAAAUAUAGGAGUGCUAAUAACAAGGUUAAGCAUACUUGCAAUGCAUGUAUUGUAAAGUCAACUAAUGGAUCCAUAGAGAAUCGAGGCAUACAAUCAAACCAAGGUGUGCAUGUGUAUGGAAUAUGGUGGAUAGGUGUUUUGUGGUAUUUGUGUCUAAUUUAUAUUUCUUUGGGAAUAACUCUCUAUUGAAACUUUUCCAGGAAAGACUUGGGCUAUCUUUAUAUAUAUAUAUAUAUAUUAUUAUUAUUAUUAUUAUUAUUAUUAUUAUUAUUAUUAUUAUUAUUAUUAUUAUUAUUAUUAUUAUUAUUAUUAUUAUUAUUAUUAUUAUUAUUAUUUCAGAGAGGCGGGCAUCUAGUACCUAUUGUUUUCAUUAUUGGGACACUUGUCCAUCUUUUACUCCUUUUUUUUAGAUUUUUGCAUAGCCACAUGUAUCCCUGAAUACAAUAAAUGAUUAGAGAGGUAAUAACAAGAACUUAGAACAUUAAAGACAAGGGUUAUCCUAUAGGUUGAUUAUUGGCGUUUACUCCCUGUGUAUGAAUAAUGCAUAUAUGAACUAGAGUGUGUACGUGAUCUUGAUUUAGAUAGCAUGACAAGACUCUCAUAAGGUAUACGACAAAGGUUGACUAAACUCAAUGCAGAGCAAGCAGCAUAAAUGUGCAAAUGUCUUCCUAACUCUAAAUAGAUAUUAUAUAUGGCUUUGGUAGGUAUUAACACUUUGUCAUACAAGAGCUCAUCAUGUAGGUUUUUAGGUUUUCAAAAUAAAUCUCUAGUACUUAGUAAUGCUAGGAAUAAGAUAAAUAGUAGCUCAAACUUUGAUCAUAUCAACCAACUACCUAAACUUAGCUCAAACUUGUGCCUCCACAAAUUGCAGGUUCAGAGUAAAUCUUCGAAUUAAAAUAGUAUUUCCUAAAAGUCGAAAGAAUCUACCGUUGGAAUCUAGAUACUUGUAAGAAUUAUAACAGAGCAACUAUUCAUCAUCUCCAAGACAAAAUUUUAAUGUUCAUCAAUUUUUGUUUAGCUCUAGUUUAGACCGACUCUAAACAGACUCUGACACUUAACUAAUUAUAAACUCACAAAAAGACUAUGACUUGUGGACCUUCAUGUCCCCACAUAUUUUUGGUAGUUUUAUGACUAUAUAGACUCGAUAAUCGGUUAGGUAUAAUUACCUCAUAACUAGGGGAUGCUCCUCCCCCAAGCUGAUGGUUGCAAUACUUGGUGUAGAUGUCCUUUAGAGUGAACUAACCUGUAGCGGACCUGGUGGGUGCCACUGAUAGACUCUCUCCUUCCUAUGAUGUCAUUCCUGCAUAAAUACUCUCCACAAAGAGAAACCCAAAACUCGAGGCUCAAAUUUAAUAAUGGGUUAGCGGUCAGCCAAUGAGAAAUUGAUUAUUCUUAUGAGCUAAUUUUAAUGUUCUUUGAUUUAAGCAGGAUUUCAAAUUUCUCUUCUUUUUUGAAUUUUGUUUUUAUAAUGCAGAAAUUAAAUAUGAAUGCUAUUUAUUUGAUUCUUAUAUAUAUAUGCCACCACAGUAAAUAUUCCUAAGGGGUAAUCAUAAGUUUAUUCAUAUGGGGAUUUGGUAUUUAUGAUGCAAUAUUUAAGCAGUAAAUAUUUUUGUUUGUAUUUUAUAUUAAUAUGCUAAGAGAAUUAAAUAUGCUACUAAGAGUGUUAAAGUGAAAUUACUAAUGCAUGCUAUUUUAACUAGAUAACUACCAUUCUGACCGUAUGGCUACGGUAUGGAAUUUAAAGUCUACCGAUAGGACUUGGAGGAUAGUGGAGAGGACUUACUUAGUGGGUUCAUUGUCUGAGGUAACCUCAGUCAACUCCCCGUCUUGCGGUGAUGCUGUACGUGUGUCUUCCUCCCAUCUUGCUUCUGUCUAUUUUGCUUCUUCUUCCACUAAUUCCAACUCUUCAGUUCUGUUCUCCUUUUCCCAGGCUUCUAAUCGAGCUAGGAUCUCCUCUUUCUCCUUCUUGGUGAUAAAAUCUGCAGGUAUAUAAUGUUCUUGAAUUCUUACCAUUACAUCCUUGACCAUUCCUUACGGGAAUCUAAAACAAAUAAUUCAUCGUAUACCUGUUUCGACAUUACGUUGCAGCCUGAUCCAAUGUCGCAGACGGUGUAAGGGAAGGUGGUGUUGUUGAUUGUGCAGUCAAUGAUUGGAACUCCUGGAUGACCUCUCUUGAUUGGACAUGGCUUGGGUAGCAUAUGAUCAUUUUCAGUAUUGAGAGCGGUGAUUAAUUGAGCUGUCUCUGCUUGCUUGGUCUUCCUCCAUCUUAUAUUGUUCUUCUUCUUUGGUACUGAUUGUUGUUCUUGCUUUCCUUGUUGGUAGAAUUGCUUCGGGGCUGUAGGAGCUUUAAGGACGCGGUUCUUGAAUGCAAAUCUCUCCUUCUUGUCUUUGAUGGAUAAGACAAUCUUGUCGUGCUCCGCAUAGAUGAUGGCCUUUGUUGUGCAUAAAAAUGGUCUGCCCAAAAAUGCAUUGGUGCCUUCUCAUCUACUUCCGUCUCCAUGACCACGAAGUCAACUAGGACAUAUGAUUGCCCCACUCUAAUGACAACUUCUUCUAGUACUCCCUCAGGGUAGCAAAUGGACUGAUCUGCAAGCUGCAAACGUAUAUUUGUGUACAAUAAAGAAUCAUUUAAUAUUUUCUCAUAAAUUACCUUGGGCAUGAUGUUGACACUUGCGCCGAAGUCACAGAUAGCCUUUGGAAAGCUGUGGCAUCCUAUAGAGAUAGGAAUGACAGGUCUUCUAGGGUGUCCUAUCUUCUCUGGUAGAGAGUGGUCAAUCCACUGUACAGCUGCAGGCUCAAUAUAACAUUGGGUUGCAUUAUGAAUAUCUACAAGGUUAGCAGUUUCUAGAUCUUCUGGUUGGCCUGGAAUCUUGCCUUUUUCUAAUGGAGGUACAACAGCAGCUAAUUGUGCUAAUUGUGAUUCUAGCAUUUUAUUGAAACUAUGUUGAUUCUUUAUAGCAGAAGCAAAUGUAUACAUCCUAGUAUGUAUGUUUUCUAAAGUUUUAUCAUUUGAUGCUAGUUUCCUAGUCAUUUGAUCUAGCAGUUUGGAUUGACUAGCGACUAAUUCUCUUAAAGGCGGAAAAUUAUUAUUAAAAUUAUUACCUUGGUUGUUACCUUGGUAAUUACCUUGUCGAGGUUGCUGAUUCCAUCCUUGAUUUUGUUGAGGAUGAUAGUAGGUGUUAUUGUUGAUGAAGUUCACAACCUCUUGUAGUGUAGGGCAACUGGUAGCUGAGUGCCCGUAGUCUCCACAUUCUUCACAUGUCAUAUGGGAAUCAUUGAUGUGCAUGACUUCCUUUUUCUCUAUGUAGAGUUUCUCCAUCAUGAGGUCUAGCUUGGCAGUGACCUUCUAAGAUUCCUUGAGAUGAUGGAUUCCUCCUCCUUUCUUCCUAGACUGAGUACGUUCUUCAUUGCAUAUUGAAUUUGAAGCCGUCUUCUCAACAAUGCUUUAGCGUCUGAGAUCUUAAGUGAUCGGAAAGCUCCCCCAGCUGCAGCAUCAAAUGACUCACGGGUACUAGAGAUGAGCCCGUGAUAGAAAGUCUGCAUUAACAGCCACUCCUCUAUCCCAUGAUGAGGACAGUCUUCUAUGUAAUUCUGGAAUCUUUCCCAUGCUUUAGUGAAUGAUUCAUCAUGUUGUUGUUGGAAACCUAAAAUCUUCCCACGCAAAGCAUUAGUCUUGGCUAUAGGAAAGAAUUUUUCCUGGAAAGCAGUCAAGCAAAGGUAGUGUUUAUAUCUGUUGGUGUAGAACCACUGCUUGGCUUACCCCAAUAAUGAGAAUGGGAAAAGACGGAGUAAGAUAGUAUCCUUUGGUACUCCUCUGAUCGUGAAGGUGCUGCAGAUCUCUAAGAAGUGUUGUAGGUGUGCACUUGCAUCUUCAUGAGCUCUUCCACAGAAUUGGCUGGCUUGAACCCUGGUGAUGAGAGGCUUGAGCUCGAAUCCAUUCUCCCUAGUAUUGACUGCUAGUCCAGUCCGAAUGUUUGCUGUUGUUGGGGCAGAGAACUCUCGCAGUGUGUUCUCAGCCAUGUCUUCAAACAUAGGAGCUAGGUUUCCUCCUAACACUUCGGCUUGUUCUUCAAAUUCCUCUUCCAAUGUUGGAGCUGGCACCUCUCAAGAGCUGGCCUGAGCAGCAGAGGGUGUUCUUGAUGAUGAUUCGAAUUUAUCCCUUGCUUCUACAAACUUCUUCCUAAGGAGUUUCUCUGGAUCUUCAAUAAAGUUUCUUGGAAGAUCAAAACCAUUCAUUCAUCACCCUACAUAAGAUAAGAAAAAUUAUAACGACGAAGGGUGUACCUGAUUGAGUAGAAAUUGAUUGGUAAUAUAACUUUAUUCAUACAUAAAUAUGUUAUCAAUAUAUCCUAAGUUUAUUAUGACUUCCCCGACAACGGCGCAAAAAAUGCUUGUUGACAUUUACUACCGUCAUCACUAAAACAGAGAUAAACCCUACUCCUAGUAACAACACCAAAAAUGCACGGUAUAUAAUUAACUUGUCAAUUAGCAACUAGCCACUUUCUUAAUUAUUAAUAUUCCUAAACAUGAAGUAGGUUGUCAUCCCUAAUUAUAUUGCUAGGAAUUUAUAGAUUCAUAUGUACUAUUGUGACUAGGCAAAAAUAAAAGAUAUGAAUAUGAUUGUAAACUAAAUGGGUUCUGCAAGCGGACAGAUAAUUAUACCGUUGUGGCAUUCUACGUAGGGAAGUAUCCAGGUUGUCAAUUUAUAUUUAUACCACUGGGAAGGCUAAGGAUUAAACUGUAUCUAUUAUAUUGAUAAGAAUGAGUAAAUGAUACUACAUAAGUCCAAUAAUCUACUCAUAACAGGCAUAGGUCACAAGAUAAAUAAUGAUAAAUAAUAGUGAUAGCAUAAUCAUCGAGUAUCAUAAAUAAGGAUAAUCAUCAGAGCAUCUACAAGUCAUAAUAAUAGUUAGCCAAUGGAUAAACUAUGGAGUUGGAUCUAUAACUAUGCCAAUGAAUAACUCUAAUUAGUGCAAUUACAUCAAGAAACAUCGUUAAGUCAACCCUAUAUCAUAAUUACAUGCAAAGAGGCAUCAACUAAUGACGGUUUUAAGACGCAACCGUCACCUCCUUCCCGACCGCGCCCAAGCUAGUCCUACAUACGGGGGGUGGACUAUAGAGGAACCAACGCAGCUGUCACCUACGCGGACUACCACAUGACCCGGCACGUUAGGGUGCCCUCGUAGAUUAACAAGAUAUCUAGACACCACGUCUACAUAUUGUCUACCAACUACCCACCUAUGGAUUGGGUAAACGCUAUACGAGCAAUUACAUGAAUUCAAUAAGAUCAAACCAACUAUCCUAGACAUAUAAUCAAAGUAGACAAUGACUAAUGCAAUUAAGAACAUAUGAAUCUAUUAAGAAUAAAGUCUCCCUAAUAUACAAUGAAAUACUAUAAAGUAGAACUAGAACUAUUACCGAACUCUUGCGCUGUAGACCAACGCUAGGGGCUCCAGAUCCCGAUGAAGAACAAGAUCUAACUAACUAGAACUAUGAACUAGAAGGCUCUUGAUGAACUUGAAGGCGCUUGAUGCUUGAUGGCUUGAGGCCUUCAUGAAUAAUGAGGUCUGUCUCUAGGGGGGUGUGCCCACGUAUUUAUAGUCCGGUAAGAGUCGUGCGCGCCGUCGGAUCAAACCGACUUAACCAAGGGCUGAGAUGACUCCUCAAAGGCGGUGGAGGAAGCUUCCAGAAGGGGGGCACCAAACCCUAGACUAGGGGCCGGCCGGCGCUAUGGUGGGGCUAGCCGGCCCCACCUGGUGGCGGCUGGUCCUCCCCUCGCAUCGGGUGUCUUCCAGAGUAUUCCUGAAUCCUCUCGCGCUGUUUCCUGUGGCGGAUAUGUUUCCGUGUUUGAUUUGCAUUAGAGUCCCUCUUUUGCAGCUUUCCUGAAAUUUACCUUGAGAAAUACGGAAUAUACAAAACUCGUGGAAAUUGUUAGUUUAAACCCUAUAUUAAUAUGUAUUCAUGUUCUCCUUCAGGUUUAAAGUUAUAAUAAAAGUUGACGUUAUCGACCGUCAUCACCACCACAGUGAGAACUCGUACAACUUUUACACUACAAGGGUUUCACAUAGAGCUAUAUAUUUUUUUAUUUUUUUAAGAUGAAUGAAUGUAGCCUAAUGCAAGAAUAUGUUUUUGUUAUUUCUAAGCAUUGCCAAUAUAGAAAAGUAAACAUACUAAAGAGAAAUUAACUCAUACAAUGUAAGGAAGUAGAUAUAGAUAACCACCGAUGUUACCUUACGGCGAGGGUUCGAUGUUUUUAGUCCUUCGAACUGGACUUCUUCUUCCACUGUUGUGUAUUUCUCCAUCUUGAGAGAUGGAGGUCUUGUUAGUUGCAUACCUCUAGUGAUGAUGAUGUCAUCUUUGUUCUUUGAUUUGGCCAGCAAGUUGAAGGAGAGUUUUAAUAGUAGCUGGCAGCAUCUUGCUCAGUGUGCAUGUUCACAAAACUUUCACUUGUAGAAUUAAUAAACUUUGCUUGAUGUGUCGUCCUGUUUGCAAAACUAAGGUAGAGAUCAAGUGCAUGGGCUCUACUGGUGGAAAAACACUAACAAAACCAAAUCUAUUUAUUUAUUUAUUUAUUUAUUUUUCUCUAUCAUUAGGCACACUAAACAAGAUAACGUUGUGUUACAUGAUUUAUUUAUUUAUGAGUGGUAAGAUUAAAAGAUUAAACAUUUAAUGUUGCAUUUAAGUUCACAUGACAGAAAAGAAUGAAAUUGCUUAACUAAUGGAAUGAUUGUUUAUCUCUAUAUAAAUUUUCAAAUAAGUAUGACUAUCAUCUUCCCAAGAUUGAAUAUAAUGUUUUAACUUAUUUAGUUAAGACUAAGAUUAAGAGGGCGGUGUCAUAAACAAUCUUAAAAGAUAAAUCAUGUUGAGUUAACCAGGUUGAUCAAUUUAAGUUGUAACUCUAACAUGUUUGUGUUUUAAUUUAUGUGCACACUAAGAUCAAGAGGAGAGAGUGACCACUUACCUUAGAAUAUUACCUUCAUUAUUAGAGCGUGAUGGCACUAACUGAUCAAGGGUAAAUGACUGGUGGUCCUUCCUCUUGCAUCUUGAGUUGUUCACAGACAUCUUGUCUCCUCUAUUGCACACAUUCUUUUACCAUCUUUUGCUUCUUUGAUCUAUUGACUCUUUUCACUUCAGUUUUUAUUAUGCCUGCAACAGAUUAGUGGACAACACAUACCCGAAGGAAUAUACAAGUAAUGACAAGGGCAUUGUUGUAAGACAGCUAAGGGUCACUUUCUAUGCUACAAAAAGGAAUUUGCUUGAGCAUACUUAGCAUAGCGCAUUUAUUAUUCACAAUUACUUCUUUCUAAGGUUUUGAAUUUAUUUUCCCAUCUUAUGUUUUGAUUCUCAAAUAUAGGCAUUAUCAAUUAGCUCAAACUUAUAGAAAUUAAGUAAUAGUGAAUUUAGAGAUUGCAAACCAGUGUGUGGAGCGAUGAGGAAGGACUCGGUUGGACCAGCUAGGGGAGUUGGCCUUCCUUCUCAACCUCAGAGGUGAGAGUGCAGAACGUUGCAUGCUUUUCUCUUAUCAAUCCUUCUUUCUUCUUAGCUACGAGUGAGUUGUAUCUUCCUUGUGCAAAAUUAUUGUAUAACUUCAUCUUUAGUGUGAGUUUAUCUCAGGACUUUCCCAAUUUGAAUUUAGAAGUUUUUCUGCAGGGGUUAGUCUAACAAAAUAUUCCAAUAUCUACUACAGCAUACUAUUGACUCAAAAAUCAACCUAGACACCACGUCUAAUUUGACUUAGGAAGGCAUUUUAAUCAUGCAUAAUUAAAAGCCUUCAAAAGUAAGAUCACCACUCCUAAAUUAAGUUCCAUACUUCAUAUUACGAGAUCAAUGAAACUACUCCAAACCUAAACAUAUACUAUAGCAAACAAAGGUAACAUAAAAGCACUAUAUAGAUUUAUUCAAAAUGUGAUGAAAGAGUAUUAUUAUUUUUUAUCACAAUGAACAUAUCUUAAAGGUAGAGGCAACCAAGCAAUGUGGCAAAAGAUGUAUCUAUGUAAGCAUAUCCCCCAAGCUUGACUUUUGCAAAGUCAAGAUUCAAUGAAAGUAAUUCAGUGUUGCAUAAUGAUUGGUUGGACAUACCUUGCAUUUGUCACUCCUUCGAUCUUAUUGCUCUAAUAUUAGAGGGUUAGUUGCAAGAAUACCCAAAGAAAUAUUUUCAUAAUUAUAAUUCUAUGAUCCAUUAAUAAGGGUAGCACAGUAGAAGAACACUCAUGUCAUGGUCUAAACAGUGCUUGUUUUAGGACACUAAGCUUGUCCAUGGGAAACCUUCAAGAUGUGGUUUGGCGAAGUGGUUUCCCAUCCAACACCACUCUAAGUGUAUUGUUCACCAUAACGAGAUCUACAAUAUUUAUGGUAAACACAUGUGUCUACAAUCACCCUCUUAAUGAUUCUAUUAAUAGGUAGAAUAAGGGGAUUGAGGAUCUCGUGUGUGAUAAUAUUAGAGACUAAUUGAUCCAGGAGAUUUCUCAUAUGAGCAUGGGUCUGAUAGGGUGUUUAAUGAAAUAAUUCACAUGCUCGAAAAUAUGAUUUCCCUUUUCACACUCCAAGGGUGUCUCUUCAUGGUUGUCUAUAGGCAAUAAGUUUACCUCUAUUAUUUCAUGUCUAUGACAUUUAUUAGAUAUUUUAUUUUCCAGGAUUUCCCAUGAAUUGAUGUCCCUAAGGUUGGUCUCGUCUAAAGCUUUCUCUAAACUUGGAUGAGUUUUGUUUAAGCUCAACAUUUGAAUUUAGACCAAGUCUAGAUGCUAGUGCUAAAACUUCAUCUUCUUCCAUCCAUUCUUUGACAAUAGCAUAUGUAUUUCUAAUAUCGUCUACGUGUUCCUCCUAUUGUUGUUGCUCUUCUUGGGUAUUUCUAUAAUUUUCAUGACUCCUAUUCUUAGGAUGUCUUGAUGGAUUUCUAGGGUCAUUAUGAAGUUUAGUAGAAGGAGCAUAAAAAGAUUUAUUAGGGUCAAGGAUGGGUUUAGAGAUAGGUUCAAAGGCAUUUAAUAUGACAUAGAAGGGGAGAAGAUAGAUUUUUUUUCUAAGUGGCUUGGCUCUCCUUCUAUGGCAUCACAUGGCAUGCCAUCCUUGAAUUUUCCCAAUGUCCUUUUAGGAAGGAAAGGAAGUUGAUGGUGUUUUUCCCAAGAUGCUCUUUUGAGAAGAUCUGAUAUGCAUUGAUUUAGGAGCAUCUUAGCUAAUUGGAAGUCUAAUUCAUUAAAGUGGAAUUUAAAGGUUUAGGAUUGAUAGCUAAAUCUUAGGAAUGAUGUGAUUGUAUUUUAGUUAUGAAGACUUUUGUUUUAGUUUGGAUAAUAAUAAAUCCUUUUCUUCUUUUUGGAGAGUUCAUAAAUAGCCAGGGCAACUCUUUUGAGCAUAAUCUCUUGCUUUUUAAAAGAUAAGAAAAAACUCUCGAGAAGUUAAAUCAAGAGAUUCCUUGUAACUCUUAGUAAGACCCAAAUGUUGAAUAAACAUGGGAGCUAGCAAACCAAGGUCAGGAUUAAUGAUCCCAUGAUAUAUUUGAGAAGGGUUUAUUAUAUUAUGUAGACAUGGGCAUAACUUAUAGGUAUUAAGAUAAGGUUUAAAUAAAUAUCCAUAAGGAUAAACAUAAAUAUCCGUAAGGAUAAACAUAAAAAUAAUGAAGAGACUAGGAUAGAAAUAGGAAAAUAUAAAUGUAUAAUACAAGAUUAAGCUAAACUAAGUCAACAUUAGUAAACAGUUCCCCGGCAACGGCGCCAAAAAUGCUUGUUGACACUUCUAACGUCAUUACUAAAAGUAGAGAUAAACCCUAUCCCCGACAACAGCGCCAAAAAUGCUUGUUGGUAUAAAUUAACUGCACUCCAUUUAAAUAAAUUUAAGUAGAAUUAUCCGCAGGUGCACAGAUAUCAUACCAGUGUCACAUUUUACCCGAGGGUUUUAAAUAUCGUAUCCACAGGGAACAGUUGUGAUGAUGACAAAGUAUAUAGACUUAACCAUACAAUUAGGCUAGAUCAUAUAAAGAAAAAGGAAAUAGCUAAUGCACUCUAAUUCUAACUCUGGUAAACUUUCUAUAAAAUCAUCUUAUCGGGCAAGUAACCCGAAUAGGAGAAGAAACAGAGUAAUCUCAUACUAGGUACCAAUAAGCCUAUCAGUCCUAUCAACGGGAAGUGUGUUGACAGUCCUUAAGUACCAAAUAUAAUCAUCAAAUAAAUAAAGAAAAGGAUCCAAAUGUAACCAACACCUAGACUUAGGGUUUUAUCUGACAGAAUUCCACGAGUUUUGGUGUUUGUCUAUUUCUGCAGGGGGUUAUCAGGAAAUAAGGAAGAAAGGCCCACACGUCGGGAUUACAUAGAGAUAUCAACGCACCGUGCAAUUUUCUACCAUCUAGAAGACUCCAGAAGCCACGGGGAGAAAGCAGAGGCCGAAAGGGGCCAGGCCCAGGGCGCCCGCCCUCCUUCCCUGGGCGCCCGCCAUGUCCUGGACUCCGUUCGGGACUCUCUUCGCACAUGAUGUUCCACUGACCUAAAGGAUCAAGGAUAACGUAGUACCACAUCGCCUACCAACCCAAAAACGCAUAGAGGAGGAGGACUAUAUAAGGAGACCCCCCUGGCCCCUGGAGAAGACAAGAAGUUAUCAUAGAGAUUGAGGGGUGUCCUCGAAGGAAAACCUCUUCUCUAAAUAAAAUUUCUUUUUAGGCUUAGCAACCAAUGUAAGUAGAAAUAGAUCUUCUAGUUUCUACUACAUUGAGAGAGAUAGAGUGGAGGUGUAGAUCGGAGGAAGGCCGGCCUGUCGGUGUCUACUCCGAGGUUGUACCUGCGGGAUCAAGUCUUCUAACCCGAGGCUUGCUCCUAAGAUUCUUCAGUAAUUCGACUUCUAAUUCUAGUAAGUUCUUGUUUUAUUGUUCUUUGGUUUAUGAGUUUACUUUAAUCCUCUUUCGGUUGAGUAUUAGAGUAAUCAUUGUUGGCGUAAACGUGGUGUUUAGGCUAGGGUACUCAUAGAUAUCCCCUGACUAGCUGGACCGUGGUAGUAGCGAGGAACGUGACAUUUCCGAGUUACCUUUGUAUCCCAUAUCUUGUUAGCAGGACGGGUAGGUUUAUAGGUGCGGGUCGAACAUCCUUUGUGUUGUCUAGAUUCCGUGAGCCUCCCCAAUAGAAUAGCAGAUCAUCCUUACCAAGGUUAGAACGAGACUACGGUUGCAGUCUUCUCUAUACAUCGCUCACAUCGAGAAACAUUCUUUGUAGCCUAAAGGGAUAGUAGCAAUAGAUUUAGUUAGUCAGAUGCACCCUUUCUCCCAGUGGUAAAAAUAUAAAUACGAUACUCUGGAAAACCUCCCGGGUGAAAUGCUCACCGAUAUCCGUGCGCUUGCGGAUCAUUUCCUUAUUGCGUUACCAAAUAUCAACAAGCAUUUCUAGCGCCGUUGCCGGGGAGAAAGAUGGUUUGCUGAGAUAACUUUAAGUCUUGCUAUUAUCUUGUAUUAUACUUUUAUACUUUUAUUCUUUUAUCUUUUUAUCUUUAUGGAUAACUUAAAUUCCAUACCUAUUAUCGAAUUUUUUGCACCUUCGGAGACCAGCCAUAGACCAUGGGAGUCAACAAGUUCUGCCCCUAAUUAUGAUCUGUGUCCGGAGUUGAUUGCAAUUGGUCAAAACCAACCCUUUUCUAUAGCCGAGGUCCUAUCUUUUAAUCAAGAAGAUAAUGCACUUUUAGCUACACCUAGGGAAUCUGUUAAUCUUUCUAUAAAUUCUGGUUUAGACCUAGCCCUACAAGACCAUGUUUUUUCUCGAUAUUUUCACAUUGGUCUUAAUCAUAUAACCUUUGGUAGAGUCUUUCUUUCUUUAUCUAUUAGUAAACGAAGGUAUGUCUUCAUUUGUGGAGAUCCUUCUUGUACUAGUCUUCAUAGAAAAAUCUUAGAGAUAGAGAAGGAAUCAUCUCCCAGACAAGGAAAGGAAGUUUCAAUAGCCAAUUUCCAAACAUUUCAAUCCCAUGAUUCGGCUAUCCAUCCCAUCCUUGAGCUUAAUAGUUUCUACUAUGCUCUUUCUCUUGAACCUCCCAUAAUCCUAUGAAUCUCUCUAGACAUCCCAUGCAUAAGAAGGAGGAUCGGGAAGAGCAACAUCAAUGGCUAGAGGGCAUUAAAAAUCCAUGUGCUAUCACCAUUGAAUGGAUAGAUAAAACAAAGUUGAGAGACAAUCCUAGAGGAAUUUUGAACAUUCAUGAAGAAUCAUCCUUGGAGUUUGAGAAUGAGAGAAACAACAGUGAGCAUAGAAGUUAUUUCAUAAAUACCUCAUCAAGUCCUUGCUCAUAUAAAACAUCUCCCCAAUCAAUUAGUCUCUCCAACCUUACCACAUUUGAGAUCUCCAACUCCCUCUUCCUUUUUAUUUAUAAAAACUUUAAAAGAGCGGUUGUCGAUGCAUAUGUCUAUAAUAAAUAUUGCAGAUCUCGAUGAGUUGAUUGAUGGUUUCCCAAGGACAAGCUUAGUGUCCUAAAACAAGCACUGAUCAGAUCGUAACAUGAACUUUUAAUUAUUUGCAACAUUGCCUUGUGUAUUGAGCAUAUAAAGAUAAUUGUAGAAAUAUUCCUUCGAGUAUUCUUGCCACUAACCUUUCUAGGAUUGGAGCAAGAAGAUUGGAUGAAUGACAAGCACAAGGUAUGUCCAACCAAUCAUCAUACAACAUUUAAUUAAAUUCAUCCAACUUGAAUUUUGCAAAAUUCAAGAUUGGGGGAGUACUUUACAUAAAAACAUCAUUUGCCAUGUUGCUAUGUUGGUUAUCCCUACCUUUGAGACAUGCUCAAUUUGUUAAAUACUAAUCACACUACUUCAUCUCCACUUGAGUAGAUCUCUAUAAAUGCCAUCAUGCUACCUUUGUUUAUCCUAGUAAGUGUUGGUUUGGAAGUACUCGACAUACUUCCAUUGGCAUUUAAAUUAAGCAUGGUGCUUAGGUUAAACAGCCUUCCUUGAUCUGAUUAGACAUGGAGUCUAGUUUGGUUACCGAACUAAAAACUGCUUGAGUAGACAUUUGUAUAUUUUGUCGGACUAACCCCUGCAGGAAAACUUUCAUUAUCAACUUGGGAAGUCCUGAGAUACAAACUCACAUUGGAGAUAAAGGAGACACAUGAAAUUUAACGACUUGCACAAGGAACACAUAGCUCAUUCAUCAUAAAGAGAUGAUCCAUGGAGGGUGCCACAAACACGAUGCACAACCGCUAAGAAAGGAAAGCUUCCACAAGGUGAUACUAUACCAUCACUCUUCAAGUAAGGUAACAUCUUAAGGUACUUGACUAUCGCUUUUAUAAGCUUCUCCUUGGUUUUGGCGUUCACAUGAAUAAAGAGACAAACAUGUAUGAUUUGUAACUCCAAAUUAACCAACCCAAAUUAAUUCAACAUGUUUAGUCCUUUAAUCUUUAUUCUUAGUACUACCUUCAUGAUUCCACACUCCUAAUCAUAUAAGCUAAAGUAUUGCACAUUCAAUCUUUAGAAGAUAUAAACAAAACAUAAAUAUAGAUAGAUUAUCUUUCCACUAGGUUGAGCCAUCUGAUCUGACAAAUGUUUUAAAUGCUACACUCAUGAUCCUAUCAACUUUGUCUUGCUCACUAUGAUUAAGAUUAGAGAAGAACAAACACACUUUUGGUUCUGUUGGUGUUUUUCACCAACAGGGCCCAUGCACUUGAUCUCUACCUUGUCUCUAUGAGCAGGAACAUUUCGAGCAUAAUAUGAAGGAGUUUUACAACUCCCAGACUCCACCUAGUGAAGGACCUGGAUCUACAAUCACAAACACACUAAGCAGGAUAUUACCAACACCGCACUUCGAACUGCUGGGCAAUCAAAGAAUAUAGGUGACACCGUAUCAAGAAGUGCAGACGUCAAGGUCCACACCUAAUCAAAUGAUGCACCUAAAGGAUGAAGACGGUGAGAAGUCUUGUCCAGAAGACUUAAAACAUUGGAUCCUUAUCGGAGGAGGUCAAGAUCGUCGACUCAAGUCGCCUUUCCUGAUCAAGAAGGACGACCCUGGUGUUCCAAGCAUUGAGUGCACAAUCAACAGAUACUCUUUUUAGAAGACACUCUACGACACCGGAUCUGACGUCAACAUAAUGGCCGCAGACACUUAUCAGCUCUUGCAUGGAACCAUGCCCCUACAACCAAUAUAUAUUCAGCUCCAGAUGACAGAUCAGACAUUCCGAAAGGUUGAAGGUCAUUGACAUGGGAGAAGACGAGUACGAUCCACCCAUCAUCCUUGGAAGACCAUUCCUCAACACUAUCAAAGUUAUCAUCUACAUUGGAAUCGGAGAAGUCCACGUAUACUUCCCCUCUGAGAAGGUACGCUGCUAUUUUACUGACCCUAACUAUAUAGUUGAAGACUCUAAGUAGGUCAGGACAAGAAGAAGACAACGCAACCGCAACCAGAUGAGGCAAAUCAUCAAGGACGGAUGGGUAGACUAUGAAUGAGAAGUGAUAAGGUUUGAAGACAUACAGCUUUAACAGAACUGUCCUGAGGAGACCGUAGCACCGAGUCAGGUAUGGAAAGAGAAGAUAGUUAUACACGAAGAGGAGGCGCCGCCGGAACCACCGACUAUGCCAUCCAGCGAAUCCCAGGACGACUAAGAAACGGAGAGUCCCGUUCGGAGGACUUAAAAACACAUUACGCCUUGCCAAGAGGUAAACUUGGUAGUUAUCCUUUUCCUUUCAAUUACUCAAUUAUAGUUUGCUUAGUUAAUCAAGUUCAUGCUAUCUUGAAAAGAAAAUAAAAAUGUUAAAAAUAGUAAGCCCCAUGUGAGUAUACUCAUGGCAUAAAGCCCAUAGGUACAUUCACUGUGGUGGCAUAAAAUAAAUAUGUUUUCAUCUUACAAUAAAAAUAUAAAAAUGAUAAGUGCAUGAUUCUGCUAAAUAAGUAACAUUUAUUGAGGAGGCUCACCAUGAUAAAGGCUAGAUAUUUAUGCUAACACUUAACCAGUUCCACAAAGCUUUGUUGUCUAUUUGAGCUCCACAGGAUUCAAGGAUCAAAGAAGACUAGCAGACGGAGGACAUCCUAAUCGCUAUCAGGGUGUUGCCGACUUUCAAAUACACCUCCACCACCUGCUAGCUACAUCAGAAGAAAUUACGUCAAAAUCCAGCUUGGGUGAGAGCACCCCCAUUUAUCCAGCUAAGUGUUUCUACUCGCGUUUAUACUUUACUCAAAUAAUAAAAAGAUGCAUAAUCAUAAAAACCCAAAUAAAGAUUUUGUGCUUAUAUAUCUUUGCUUAGUUAGCUAAAUAAAUAAAUAAAGUUUGCUAUGAACCCUCAUGAUAAACUCUCACAUGGAAAAGAUGAAUAGUUGCUGUGCCAAGAUUAGUUCUUAAAAUUGAAAUCCCUCUCAAGUUUAGGCAUAACUGUUAUAAUUUAAACCUGCUCUAAACUUGAACUUGUGGGAAGAGUACUUGAUCUAAAGUCUAAGUCAUUAACGGAUAUGAUAUGGGAAGGUUGAGCUGCUGUUUAUCUGUUCCUAGAGAUGCUAGAAUUCUGGAGAAUUUUAUCUUUGAAAAAUCUUUAAAAUAUCACAUGAUGAGUUCCUGUAUGAUGAGAGUUUAAAAUCCUACCACAGCCAUAUAUACAUGCUUAUUAGACUUUGAGCCACACAUUUACUUUUUACUACUUAUGAGCAUUGAGUGUGGUCAAGCUGUGUAGACCCUUAGGAGCUUGUCAUGUGGUUAAAAUCUAGAUUCACUUGCACGUUCACUCAUACAUGCUACUUCUACUCCGGAAGUACCAUCCACGUACAUCCACUCAUUUCCAUCUCCAGAUUCACCCAAAAUCAUUCUACUCCUAAUCCGGGAGAGAAUAGCCAAAAACAUUUUCCUAUCCCUGUUAUUCCCUAUGAAAUAAAUGCUUCAGUUAUUUUGGUUACUACCACUUGCUAAAUUAUUUCAGGAGAAGAGUGCUCUAAAAAAAGAAAGAGAAAAAAAUAAAUGAAUAAAUAAUAUACGAGGAAAUAAAAAGGGGCAAGUGCCUGGAACCUCGAAGAAAAGAAAAGUGAGACGAGAGGUAAAAAUGGAUAAGUAUCCGACAGUAGAAUUAGGGGUACAAGAUACCCACCUGAGAGGAAAGAAAAAGAAAAUAUAGAGCAUCUCAUUCCUCUCAAAAACCUUCAAAGUGCAAGAAAGGUAUGUAUCCCCUCAAAAGAGCAAAAGUAGAAUUAGACUUUCACCAUCGUUAUGUAACACCCAAAAAUUUUGUUUCUUUUAAAUAGAUGAAAUGAAUUUAAAUGAAUUUAUUUUGUGAGCAUUUUCAAUAUAGGAAAAUAAAAAAAUUUGGAGAAAUUAAAACUUAAUAUAAGCUUAGAGAAAACUUUAUGUUGCAUUCAUGCUGGAGUAUUCUUUUAUGUGAUGAGUGUUUUGAAAACAAAUGUCAAAUUGAUUAAAAAUCCAUUUGGAAAAUGCAUUGAAAAUUUGUUUGAAAAAAAAAUAAAAAGGAAUUUCUCUUCCCCUUCCUCUUUUCGGCCUGGAGGCCCAGCAACCCCCGCGCGCGCCCUCUCCUUCCUGGGCCGCGGCCCAGCCGCUUCCCCCUUCCCCAUCCCCUCUCUCUCCCCGCUGACAGGCCAGGCCCGCCUGUCAGCUUCAUCUUCCCCCAACCGCCGCCCCGCUCUUUCCUCUCUCUCAGUUGGAAAACCACCAAGACGCGCCCCCGCUCCCCCCACGUUCCCUCCCCCGCGCCUCGGCUUCAGUUGGAGAAAACCCCCC
rnacentral:lncRNA from 1 species